rnacentral:lncRNA from 1 species
AUGAAUGACAUUAUAAUUGACCACCUCCAGCCAGACAGGAGCUGUGUGUUGUUGCUGACCUGUCUCACAAACGGACCAGUAUCACCCCCCCGUGACGCCCCCGGCCCCCGUCCUACUGACACGUCGGCGCAUGCUCGGGAGCACAGCAGGAGUGUGUUUUCACACACCCUAAACGUUUAUCGGGCAGCAGACAGGCACACGCUGGGACCAGCGCCGUCACGGCUCUUAUCUGGGCGCCGCUGCUGGUGGCGGUCGGGCCUAUCAGCGCCGCCAGUCGCUCCGCUUCAGACGCGGAUGUCCCGCGUGGACACUUCGCCGAGCCGACCUUCGCUCCUUUUGAUUGGGAUCAAUUUGAAAACCAACCUGAAGCCUUUUAAAUGGCCGUCGGUUCAAAAGUUCAGCGUGAAUAUACAGGCAGUAACAAUCUCCACUGUGUGCAUGCCCCACACACACACACACACACACACACACACACACACACACACACACAGUCAGGUGACAGGGUGGUCUGCACGCCGCCUGUCUCCUCGGCCUGAUCAUGAGGCUGCAGCACAGAUUCGUGCAGAUAAAACCCAUUCAGUGUUUUUAAGACGCCGAACCACUAAAUAUCAGCCAAAGAAAACAAAUCCAUCCCUGAACAGACGAGCCCAGUCAAAGGCUUUGACGCCUUCGUGUCACAAACAUCCCUUUUCCUUGUCUGACCGGCUUCUUCUCAGCUUGUUAGCACCAGCUCCAAGCGCCCACGGGUUUGUCUCCAUCCGUCGGAGCUGCUCAGCAGCACCUGCGGACCACCAGGGGCGGUCCGGAGACGGGUCCUCGUUAUCCCGCUCCGGCGCCGAUGUGCAGAUGUGCAGACGCCAUCGGGACAAGCUCCCACCCCCUUCUGCAGCGGGGGCGUGGCGAAGGUCUCCUACAGGGUUCGACUCUCUGGAAAAGGCUUCCUUUGUGCCGGAAGGCUCGAUCGGAGGGCAGGAAGGUCGGCCGGACCUGCUGACUCAAGUGAGCAAACAGGCCGACGGGAGGCCGGGGUCUAAAGGUCACACUGGCAGGGCGGCGUGCUCACGUCCACGCGGCGAUGCACAAAAACCCGUCGGGUUUAGAGGCAAAGAUCCGGGUGAUGAGCAGCUUUUCCAGCUAAAUUCAUGA